UUUGCAAAUCGAUUUUCCGGGUCCGCUGCAGUACGUCACGCAGUGCGUCCGUGCCGCCGUCUGGUAGUCGUCGUUUAAAAACAAAAAACCCACAAUUAUUGUCACCGAUAAAACAAAAACCAACCGACCGACAAUAACAAUAUUCCGACGUGAUAUAAUAAUAUUAUGUUAGACUGAUCAUGCAAUAAAUUAAUAAUAAUUAAAACAGUGUAAGUGACGCACUUGCAGUUUCAGGGACGAAAAACAACAAAAACAAGUUAUAAAUCGAAAUGUAUGCUGCCGAUUUGUACUGAUUAUUGACCGUGCAUAACAUUAUAUUAUUGUAGUGUUAUUUGAGUUUAACAAGUUUAUUCAUCAUGCCGGGUUCAAGGCACAAAAUAUUAAGCCAUGUGUUCAGUGGCUUUUCUGAAAAGAUGGGCCGUACAAAAGUAUUGGACAUCGGCACGCAAGCAAUCGAAACACCACUAAAACGAUGUUUGACAACAUUUGAUAUAACUCUUUUAGGUAUACCCAAGUUUUUACAUAUUUUAAGAAUAACUAAGUCACUUACAUUAUAUUAUAUUUGUAAUUUAGUUAGAUGCAUAAAAUAUUUGAUACAAGACAUUUUUAUUAAUUAUCUGGAUAGGAUUUACAUUGCUUCUACAGUAUCAUAAAUUAAGGUACUAAAUUUAUAGCGCGAUUUGAAAAAACCAAAUCAAUAUAUCAUAAUAUAAUAUUAUUAAUCUAUUAUAUAUCUACUGAGCUAAUUGCCAAUUGGCACCAAAUUCGGCAUACAUAUAGAAGACUCGGGGAGUGUUUAUGCUUCAUUUUUGUUGAUUAUAUAUAGGAUUAUUAUCAUUGGUUACCUUUCCAUGCUUUUCUGUGUUUUUUUUUAAUAAUAGAAAAUAAUAUUAAAUUUAUUGUUUGUUGUUUAAAUGUAAGUACUUACAUAUUUUUUGGAAACCGAUUAUAUAUUCUAUAAUAAUAAGAACAAACUGAUAUUUGAAUAGAAAUGUAUUACCCAUUAUGAUGUUAGAAUUAUAACUUUGUAUUACUGAUUCCAUUGGUUACACUGAAGAAAAACUGUUACUUUUUAGUUAUAACUUAUAACUAUUAGUUAUUAGUGUUGGCCAACGAUAUAAUUUUCAAUAUCGAUAUCGUAUUUUUUCCCCGAUAUCGUUAUCGAAGCAUAUUAGAACAUUAAAAGUAUAGAAUACAUAUUAUAUUAUGAGUGUAUUGAAAGCAUAUUAAAAGAAUACAUAUUGUUUUAAUA